rnacentral:misc_RNA from 1 species
GAAAAUAACCUUAUGGGUCAAUGCUGGAGCACCAUUUUGUCUUGGAUUUAGCUGUAAGGUUUGGUUUACUGAUUAAAAAAAAAUAAAUAAAAGGACAACAUAAUGAAUAGAAAAAGAAAUCCUUACUUUCAAAUUGGCGUUUUACUUUACUAGGAAUUCUUUGAUGCCAACUAGUUAAGGGAAAUACUUAUGACUUUGGAAACAAUGUGUUAU